rnacentral:rRNA from 1 species
GAUGAACGCUGGCGGCGUGCCUAAUACAUGCAAGUCGAGCGAACAGACCAGUUUCUUGCUCCUCUGACGUUACCAGCGGGCGGGUAAGUAACACGUGACUAACCUACCUCUAUGACUUAGCUACCUUCGGGAAACCGUAGUUCCUACCGGGUACUAUAUUUACCCGCAUGGUUCAAUAGUGAAUGACGGUUUUGCUGUCACUUAUCGAUUUAUCCGCGCCGCGUUAGCUAGUUGGUAAGGUAACGGCUUACCAAGGCAACGAUGCGUAGCCGACCUGAGCGGGUGAAGGCGGACACUGGAAGUGAGACACGGUACAGACACCGACAGGAGGCAGAAGUAGGGAAGCUACGGAAAAGGGCGAAAGACUGAAGGAGCAACGCAGGGUGAGUGAUGAAGGGCUGCGGACCGGAAAACGCUGUUAUGAGGGAAGAACAAAUGUGUAAGUAACGAUGCACGGCGUGACGGUAGUGAAUCAGAAAGCAACGGCUAACUACGUG